UACAGAGGGUGCAAGCGUUAAUCGGAAUUACUGGGCGUAAAGGGUGCGUAGGUGGUUGAAUAGGUUAGGUGUGAAAGUCCUGGGCUUAACCUGGGGAUUGCGCCUAAUACUGUUUAGCUAGAGUACUGUAGAGGAAGGUGGAAUUUCCAGUGUAGCGGUGAAAUGCGUAGAUAUUGGGAAGAACACCGGUGGCGAAGGCGGCGACCUGGUCCGAUACUGACGCUGAGGCGCGAAAGCGUGGGGAGCAAACAGG
rnacentral:rRNA from 1 species